AGGUAAUUGGGUUAGGGACAUAUUUAAAUAUAAAAUAAAAACUCUAUUGUUAUUCUAAAUUGAUGAAAAUAUAAGGGUAAUUGAGUUAGGGACAUAUGAAAAUAAAAUUAAAACUCUAUUAUUUUACUAAAUUGAUGAAAAAUUAAGGGGUAUAAACGAUUUUGUCUGUACUAGACCGGGCUACAGCCCGGUCUAGCCCACGUGUAGGUCCGCCACUGUGAAUGGCAAGUUGUUAAGUGAGACUGCUGAACAACCAAAUGCCAUCCAAGUGAUCUCUCUCGUAGGGAUGGGUGGUAUCGGAAAGACAACUCUUGCUCAAUUGGCUUACAACGAUGCAGAUGUAAUCAACAAUUUUAAUAUUAGGAUCUGGGUUUGUGUUUCUGACCCAUUUGAUGAGUUUCGAAUUGCAAAGGCCAUCAUUGAAGAUUUAGACGGUUCAACUCCUAAUUUAGGUGAACUGAAUUCACUUUGUCUACCCAUUAAUGAUUCUAUUGUGGGGAAAAAAAAAAUUUCCCAUCUUAGAUGAUUGUGUGGACAGAAGAUCGGAAUAAAUGGGAAUCAUUUCAACAUUAUCUAAUAAAUGGGCUUGGUGAAAGUAAGAUUUUAGUUACCACUCGUAAGGAGACAGUUGCUCGAAUGAUUGAGUCCGCUUAUCUUAUCUUCAUUAAAGAAUUGUCUAAACCAGAAUGUUGUCGCUAUUUAAACAAUUUGCUUUUCUCAAUCGAUCUCGUUUAGAGUGCGAACAAUUAGAAGAAAUUGGUAGAAAGAAUUGUCUAAACCAGAAUGUUGCCACUUGCGGCUAAAACUAUCUGGGGUUUGUUGUGGUUAAAAAAACUAGAGAAGAGUGGCAAAAUAUCUUAGAUAGUGAAAUUUGGCAGGUGGAAGAGUUUGAAAAAGAUCUUUUACCUGCUGUACUAUUGAGUUAUAACGAUCUGUCCAAUGAGAUUAAACAAUGUAGGUCUGUAAUUUAUUUGCACCAAUUUCAUUGCCUAUCACAGCAAAUGUCGGAUAGAAACUAAAUAAAAGAAUUAGAUUAAUUAAAAUGGAAACCGUUUCUAUUUAACAGUCUUUAAUUCUUGUUCUAAAUUAGACAAGAAUUAAUCCGAAAGUGCACUGGCUCUUAACUAGAAAUUGAUAGAGUGAUUGCAAGCUACUUAAGAAUAUUUACCCAAAAAGAAGAGUAGUCGCACGAAACCUUAGCAGCCACACCCUCGCCACAACUAACCAGCAGUUCUUGUUUUUCAACCAUCAGUCGCGCACCAGUCAUUAGUAGCAGCUGCCGUCAACCUUCAGCAAAGCCACCACAUCCCGGCCGUUCCACUGUCAAGGUGGUGAGACAUCAUCGUUUCUGGUCAAACCAUUGUGCAUAAGGCGCACUAACGGCAGCUCUUAAAGCUUUCAGAUCCACUGAUCACCCCAACUUUUUUGGUCGUCAUCGCCAUAUUCCGGAAGAAGUUAUCAGCCAGCAACCUCGUUUAUUGUAAUUGUUGAAACUCAUGCUGGCGUUCCCGACCGAGGAGGGCGUCUCCCUCUCUGGCCGGUACUGGUAUUUUUAAAUUUUUUCGUUUUUAUUUUAUUUUUCUGUUUUUAUCUCUACUUUUCAUUUAUUUCCAUUAUUGUAUCUUUAUAUUUGUAUUUCUAGAUUAUUAUUUGUUACUGUUGGAUGGUGUUCAGUUUUCUGGUUGUUGUCUCUGCGAUUCCAGGAGGUAGUUUGGGUAACUGUUGAUGGUGUAGCUGGUACGAGCUUGCCAGUCAAAUUGGAUCCACUGAUCAUUUUGCCAAGAGAGGAAGAAGGAGCCAAGCCCGUGGACAAGGAACCCAGUAAUGAUUUUGCAGAAGCAAAUCAACAGCUCAUUUCUAGACCUGAGAGAACCAAGAAACAGUCAGGCUGGAUGAAAGACUACCUCACGUGAACCAUGACAGCAAUGAUGGAUGGAUAAUUCUUCUUAGCUAUUAUUUAAAUUCUGUUUUAGAUAUUUUACAAUUGCCAGCUCAUGUUUGCUUUUGUCCGUAGAAUGCUCUUGAGGAGUCACGGGCUAUAUAUCCCAAAAAAGAAUAUUGUGUAAGGCAUGUUGAUGAAUGAAAAAUUCCUUCUCUUUCUGAUCUCUGUCUUAUUCUCUUUUCUUUCUUAUUCUGGAGCCGUCACUCGCUCGAAGAGUGCUCAACCAUUGGUACAUUUCUUGAUUUCUAGCAUAAAAGUGUAUCAUUGGUGCUUUCAUUGACUCUUUCCAUGGCCGAAUUUAAGGAGAGCAUCACAUUAAAGGAACUUAGUAAGAAAAUUGACGAACAAGCCUUAUCCUUUCACCAGAUGAUGCAGCAAUUUAUGACUGCAGUAGAUGACCGUUUUGCUGAAUUUCGAUCUAAAAUACCUGAGUCUCCAACAAAUGUGGCUGGUUCUUCAAAACAACCACUAGUAGUGCCACCACUUUCAUCUAUUCCAUCUGACGGGCGAGAUAUCUCUCCUAUGGUCAAAUCCAUGAAGAUGGAAGUUCCACGUUUUGAUGGCUCUGAUCCACACGGCUAGGUAUUUCGAGUGGAGGAGUUUUUCGAGUUUCAUGGUACUCCAAAACAUCAAUGCCUUCGUAUCGUUUCCUUUCACAUGAAGGGUCGAGCAGCAGGCUGGUAUCAGUGGAUGAAAUCCAAUAAUUUACUCACAACUUGGAAAGAAUCUUUGGCUAAUCUGAAGUAUCGUUUUGCAACUACCCUUUAUGAUGAUCCACAAGGCGAGCUGUCUAAACUCACCCAAACCACCACUGUCGCUGAAUUUCAAUCGGCUUUUGAAGAACUCAUGAACAUAGUUUAUGGCGUCUCUGAGCAACUUCUCAUCAGUUUUUUCAUAACCGGCCUGCAGCAGGACAUCAGGCGAGAACUUCUCUUUAAUCGGCCAGCAACACUCAUAGAAACCUUUGCUAUGGCUCAAGUGCUUGAAGCCUAAUUUAAUGACACUAAACAACACAAUCGCUCCUGGUCUAAAUGGCAACCACAGUCAACAUUUCCUUCCAUUACAAACACACAAACCAAAACCGUUCCUUUACCCCUGUCUUCCCUUCCAAUUUCCUCCACCAUAAGUGCUAACCCACCAUCAUCAAAACCUCCACCACCACACAUUAACAAUAAAACAAACAUUUUACCCGCACUUCUCCCCACUCCAAAUUUACCCAUCCGUCGAUUAUCCCCUACUGAGCUACACGAGAGACGCGAGAAAGGUCUAUGUUACUCUUGGGACUAGAAGUACAGUCCCAAUCACCGUUGCAGUCGCCGGUUCUUGUUACUUAUCGGAGCCGACGAUGAUAAUUUAGACCCGACCGAAAAAGGGAAACCGCCAGACGAAGACGAAUCCGCUGUCACUGGCGAUAUCUCAAGUUUAAAUGCUCUCGUUGGACAAGCAAAUCCUCAUUCCUGUUGUUUAUAGGGCAGGAUUGGAUACCACACCUUCCAAGUAUUAAUCGACAGUGGUAGCACUCAUAACUUUAUCAAGCCAUCAGUGGCGGAACGCGCCGGCGUCGCAAUUCAGCUAACAACACCAUUUCGCGUCUACAUAGGAAAUGGUGAUUUUUUGUUGUGCACUCAAUUUUGUUAGCAAGUUUACUUAACACUACAAGGUACAGAGUUUCCACUGGACCUUUUUGUCUUGCCUAUCAAGGGAGCUGACAUUGUUCUUGGGAUACAGUGGUUGCAACAAUUAGGGAGGGUAUCACAUGAUUAUUCGAGGCUCUCCAUGGAAUUUUCUUUUAAUGGAAAAUCGAUUAUUCUUCGAGGUGACGUAUCUACAUCUCCAACUUUAGUCACUUAUAAUCAAUUUAGGGCACUAGUCCACAGCACCGCGAUUUCAAGUUUUUGUGCUCUUCAACCUUUAUCUUCACUGCCAAUAGAGUCAUCUCCAAGACAAACACCUCCUUCCCAAUUAGAAUUUUCAACCGAUUUACCACCCCAAUUCCGUGACCUUCUCCACUAAUAUCAUCAUCUAUUUUUAUCACCCACAACCCUUCCACCACACAGAAUUAUAGACCACAAAAUACACCUCCUCCCAAACACUUCCCCUAUCAAUGUAUGCCCCUACCAAUAUCCACACUUCUAGAAGAAUGAAAUGGAGAAAUUAAUUAAAGAGAUAUCUGACCAAUGAAUCAUAAGACCCAGCCAAAGUCCUUUCUCUUCCCCAGUGCUUUUAGUGAAAAAGAAAGAUGGCACAUAUCACUUUUGUGUGAAUUAUCGUGCUCUAAAUGUAGUUACAAUCCCAGAUAAAUUUUCGAUUCCUACUGUCGACGAACUCUUUGAUGAACUUGGCAAGGCUACGAUCUUCAGUAAAUUAGACUUGAGAGCUAGAUACCAUCAGAUUCGGGUCCACUCUCGAGACAUUUACAAACGGCGUUUCGAACACACGAAGGCUAUUAUGAAUUUCUUGUUAUGCCGUUUGGUUUGACGAAUGCGCUCUCGACGUUCCAAGCCACUAUGAAUCAUAUAUUUGCUGCCUAUCUUCAGAAAUUUGUGAUCAUCUUCUUCAACGACAUCUUGGUUUGUAGCGCUACCAUGGCUGACCAUUUAAUUCACCUUGAACAGGUAUUGUUAUGUUUGCAAAUUCAUUAGUUUUUUUGUUAAAUUGAGCAAAUGUCUAUUUGUAAAUCAAGCAUUAAAUAUCUUGGUCACAUUAUUUCUGCUAUGGGAGUGCAAGCUUAUCCCUAAAAGGUGACCGCCAUGCUCGAGUGGCCACUGCCGCAAAGUACCAAGCAGUUGAGAGGCUUCCUUGGCCUUACGGGCUACUACCGGUGAUUCAUUUAUGGCUACACUUCCUUGGCCGCUCCUUUAACCUACUUGUUAUGCAAAGAUGCAUUUCAACGGAAUCCUGAAGCCACAACAGCAUUUGAAUCCCUUAAGCAAGCAAUGGUUCAAGCUCCGGUGCUCAAAUUACCCAAUUUUCAUUCUGAGUUCGUGAUUAAAUCAGAUGCCAGUAACUUGGGAAUUGGAGCAGUCCUUAUGCAACAGGGCCAUCCAGUGGCUUAUUUCAACAAAAAAAAAUUGGGCCAAAACUCAGAGCUUCAUCCACUUACUUAAAAGAAUUACAUGCGAUCGUAGGAGCAGUCUCCAAAUGGCGGCAAUACCUCUUGGGCAGGUUCUUUGUAAUACGCACAGACCAUCGAAGCAUCAAGGAACUACUACAACAAGUUAUCCAGACUCCUGAUUAGCAGGUUUAUCUACAGAAGUUACUUGGUUUUCAAUUUCGGAUUGAGUAUAAACCUGGGCUUGCAAACCGAGCGGCUGAUGCCUUAUCCUGAGUCCAUGCAGCCUCCGAGGAAAUAGAGCCAAUUGAAAAUAAGUAUGCGAGCUCUUUUUGUUUAUUUCUUCACAGUAGCCCUUCUUUCAAUCUCCUUAAGGAAUUAUUGCGGGAAAAUUCGAUUUGUCAUGACCUUCUCAAGCUUCAUCACCAAGUUUCUUCAGAGCAGUUCACGGCUGACUAUUCCAUUCAUAAUGGAAUACUUCUCUACAAAAGGAAAUAUUAUAUCAGUGCUAAAUCUUCUUUGAAAGCAGCCUUAUUAAAGGAGUUUCAUUCAACCCCAUUGGCAGGGCACGUUGGCAUCAACAAGACUUACAUUAGAUUGUCAGCCAAUUUCUUUUGGGUUCACAUGCGGCGUGAUGUUGAAAAAUUUGUCAUAGAAUGCUUAAUAUGUCAACAAACAAAGUAUUCAAUUAAAGCCCUUGCUGGUCUUCUUUAACCAUUACCUAUUCCAAGUUUGGUUUGGGACGAAAUCACUAUGGAUUUCAUCACAGGACUGCCUUUGUCUCGUGGUUAUUCUACUAUUUUGGUUGUGGUAGAUAGGUUGACGAAAUCGGCCCAUUUCGGUAUAUUACUAGGUAACUUCACGGCCCAUAAAACUACAGAGUUAUUUGUUGACAUUGUGGUUAAAAUUCAUGGCUUCCCUAGCUCUAUUAUUUCGGAUUGCGAUCCUGUGUUCUUGAGUCAGUUUUGGGAUCGGUUGUUGACUCUUAGUGGCACCUCUCUACACCACAGCACGACCUAUCAUCCGUAAACAGACGGCCCGAUGGAGGUUGUCAAUCACAGUCUUGAGCAAUAUCUUCGUGUCUUCACACAAGACAAACUAAAGACUUGGGUUUCACUUCUCAGUUGGGCAGAAUUCUGUUGCAAUUCUAGUUACCAUAGCGGUUUGAACAUGACUCCAUAUCAAGCAUUGUUUGGUAGACUUCCGCCAACAAUUCCUCCUUAUGUGAAGAGCUCUACUUCAAUCCAAGCUUUGGAUGAAAUCCUUCUCGAGCGUGAUAAACUGCUGAAAUCUUUGAAAGAUAACUUGCGUCAAGCUCAACAUCGGAUGACCCAAAAAGUUAAUACUCAUCGCCGGGAAGUUUAGUUUUCUAUUGGAGAUAAGGUGCUGGUCAAGCUUCAACCAUACCGCCAGUACACAGUAGCUUCACGUUCAUGUCAUAAAUUGGCCAAGCGCUACUAUGGGCCUUUUGCAGUAAUCGCUCACAUAGGUCCUAUUGCUUAUAAGCUUGAGUUACCUCCGGCAUCGAAAAUUCAUCAUGUUUUUCAUGUUUCCUUACUUAAACCAUUUCAUGGCUCCACUCCUCUCGAAAUUUCUUCACUACCAGAAUACAACAUCGACAAUCACCCCUUGUCUUUGCCAGCAGCUAUUUGUGCUACUCGCACAGUGUUACAGCAAGGAAAAUUGGUCCCACAAGUCUUUGUGCAGUGGACAAGUAGCUCUCCUGAAAAUGCAACCUAGGAAAAUUUUGGAGCUUUUUGUCAACAAUAUCCUACUUUCCACCUUAAGGACAAGGUUAGUUUCCAAGAGGGGGGGAAUGAUACGAGCUUGCCAACCAAAUUGAAUCCACUGACCAGUUUGCCAAGAGAGAAAGAAGGAGCCAAGCCCGUGGACAAGGAGCCCAGUAAUGAUUUUGCAGAAGCAAAUCAACAGCUCAAUUCUAGACCUGAGAGAACCAAGAAACAGCCAGACUGAAUGAAAGACUACCUCACGUGAACCAUGACAGCAAGCAUGGAUGGAUAAUUCUUCUUAGCUAUUAUUUAAAUUAUGUUUUAGAUAUUUUACAAUUGCCAACUCAUGUUUGUUUUUAUCCUUAGAAUGCUCUAGAGGAGUCACGAGCUAUAUAUCCCAAAAAGGAAUAUUGUGUAA
rnacentral:lncRNA from 1 species